CAGUCGCCGCGGUAAUACGUAGGUCCCGAGCGUUGUCCGGAUUUAUUGGGCGUAAAGCGAGCGCAGGCGGUUAGAUAAGUCUGAAGUUAAAGGCUGUGGCUUAACCAUAGUACGCUUUGGAAACUGUUUAACUUGAGUGCAAGAGGGGAGAGUGGAAUUCCAUGUGUAGCGGUGAAAUGCGUAGAUAUAUGGAGGAACACCGGUGGCGAAAGCGGCUCUCUGGCUUGUAACUGACGCUGAGGCUCGAAAGCGUGGGGAGCAAACAGGAUUAGAUACCCGGGUAGUCCCUGUCUCUUAUACA
rnacentral:rRNA from 1 species